AUUGAACGCUAGCGGGAUGCCUUACACAUGCAAGUCGAACGGAGUGGCGAACGGGUGAGUAUUGUAUCGGUACGUGCCCAUUAGCGGGGGAUAACUACGCCAAAGCGUAGCUAAUACCGCAUACUAUUGGAGCCGCCGAUAUCGGAUUAGCUAGUUGGUGGGGUAUCGGCACACCAAGGCGACGAUCCGGAGCCGGUUUGAGAGGACGACCAGCCACACUGGGACUGAGACACGGCCCAGAAUCCUACGGGAGGCAGAAGUGGGGAAUAUUGGACAAUGGGGGAAAGCCUGAUCCAGCCAUCCCGCGUGUGUGAUGAAGGCCUUCGGGUUGUAAAGCACUUUUGGCAGGGAAGCGGUACCUGCAGAAGAAGCACCGGCUAACUACGUGCCAGCCGCCGCGGUAAUUC
rnacentral:rRNA from 1 species